UUACAUCUACUUUCAAAUAAGUAUUAUUGUAAAAUAAUCCCUCAUCUAAAAUAUCAUUUCAUUCACGUAUAAAAUCAUUCAAGUUCGGUUUUGCAUUACCAUAAUAUAUUGCUAUCGGAAAAGGAGACACCGUACAAUUGUUUCAUAUUCAUUUGCAUAAAAUGGGCCAAAACUGUUUGUUCCAACUUUUUGAAAUCGGAAUGCCAUCGAUAUUCAAAAUUAAUCGAAACAUAAGUGUUUCUUUUACUUCAGUAAAUACAUUUUCAUUUUCUAGCAACGUUAAUAGAUACUCUUUUCUGCCAAAAUAUGUGUACUGAGCUAUUGUCUUCGUUUUGCUGAAGACUGACGCAAUAUUUCAUGAUCGUUUACUUUUUAACAGGGUGCGAGAAUCGCGUGGAAGUUCAUAUUCUGGAAAAAUAUCCUUCAAACCCUUUAAUAAAUUACUCAGUUCACAGUGAUUCAUUUUAUUUUCGACGGACAAUGUUCUUAAAAAACUAAGUACAUUUCAAUUCGUCACAUCGGGACUUGCUUCAAAUUCGAAUCGAGGAAACGCAGCAACGUCGCCAUCACGUUUAAUCGCCAACGAACGUCGCUUUAUCGAGAGGAGUAUACGAUCAGUAAAAUGAAUAAAAUGUUGAAAAUUUAUAGAAUUGGAAAGGCAGGGGAAAGAGGUAUACGUGUAUAUAUCUUCAUUUAUCCUCUGUUUUUUCGUGACAAAACGUAUUAAUAAUCACCAAUCGGUGGCAUGAUAAAACGACAUUACAUUCGAUAUGACAUUUUAUACAAUGGUGAAUGUUACAUUUCCAAUAAAGAGAAAUAAACGAAUAAAAGAAACAAUAGAAAAAGAAACACACUCACUGUCUACUGUUGUAAGAAUCUCGGAUAUGGUAUAUUAUCGCAAAAGUGUAUCGAUUUGAAAAAUUGUUAUCGAUCGUGCACAUAUCUUUUUCCUCAAUUUUGUCCAUUCGUAACAAUAAAGCGUUAUUGAUAUCAUUAA